rnacentral:lncRNA from 1 species
CUUACCUCAAAUAAAUCCGACGAUUCUUACAUUUCCACAAUUUUGCCUAACCCGCAAGUAACUUCUAAGGUAGCCUACCAAUUUCUGAUUGGGAAAGGAACCAACUAGAGGAUUAAAGACAGGAAACACAUUUAGAGAAAUAGUUGAUGAACACAUGCAAACUGAACCGUGCUUGCAUGUAACAGAAAAUACAUAAAAUUCAAAGGACAAAGGAAUUCAACUUACCAAGUCUAAAACAACAACUUGCUUGGUGGAAAGAAAAGCUCUUACCAUCAAGAAAUCUCAGGCACGAUCUGAUUGACGAUCAAAUAAAGAAGAAAGUGAGAAUUUAUAGAAAGAAGGAAGAGAAUAUAAAACUCAGAAAUUUAGAGAGAAACGAUGCAUGUACAAAAUGGCUCAAAGUUUUGAAAAAUUCACUUAUAUAACAGCAUCAAAAUCUAUUCAGUCCAACUAGUUGUAUACACCUGACUUCCACUCUUCCGUGAAUUCAAUGGUCCUAACAUAGUGUAAUUUUUGUGAAGUUAAGUGAAAAGUUUAUGCAGAUAAUAAAAUGAAUGAUUGGGUUUGUAUAAAAGUAAUGAGUCAAAUUUGUAUCACCUCUUAUUUUUUUACUUUUCUAUUUUUCACCUAAUAGCUUCAAAAUAAUUUAAAAAGAAACUAUAUAAAACUUAAAAAAAGUAUAUCUGUGUCAAAUUUCUGUAAAAAAAAAAGUAAGUUAAUAUAUGAUUUUUCUUGAAUAAUUUUGAUGAAGUAAAAAGAGACGCUUAACCAAAUGCAAUCUUUUAACAAAUUUUUUAUAAUGUGAUCACUUUAUAAUCUAUUUAAAUUUAUAUUUAAAAAUUAUUUAAAACCUACCAACCACAAAUUGAUAUACAUUUUUUUCAAAAAAUUAUUAAAAAAAAGUGUUUUUAUCCCAAUUAGGUUGCGAAAUGAAGGAGAAAGCAUAAUAUAAGACAGAGGGAAUGAAGACAACCUUAGCCAAAAACAAAAACAAAGCAUGGGUUUACUGUGGUGGCGAAAGGAGAAUAAACCCCAAUCCCAACCAAACUCAUCCUCUUCAAUUACCACAUCCAACGCCGUAGACACAACCAAACCCCUUGCUGAGGCCCCAGGUAUGAACGGCGCCGUCGAGGUUCCCCGACCACCCAAUGCCACCCUGUCGGUUUUCGAGUUCGGCUCCGUCGCCGCUUCCAACGACAACGUCACACUCGCCGGCUACUGCCCCGUCUCCGAGGACCUCGAGCCCUGCCGCUGGGAGAUCCUCCCGGCAAUUCAGUCCAAUGCGCCUCAGUUUCGCGUAGUUUUCUGAUUUCAUCUCUCUCUUCUACUUGUGCCAUGGGAUUCAAUUUUAUCUACUUUUUGCUCUAAAAACACGUUCGAGUUACUUUAAGAGAAAUUCUCCCCUCUCUUAUAUUUUCUAUCUCUCUUCUCUUUUCGUUUUGUCAAUCUGGUACCGUUGAUGGAUGCAUGUUAUGUUUUGAGGUUAAUGAAAUGUCCGUCCCCAUUUUAUCUACUAAAGUUAUUAUGCAUGUUAUGAUGAUUCCUCAAAACUUAUUAUGCAGCGAUUCAUUCACUAAAUUUCAAUUUACUCAUUUUCUUCGCGUUAUUUGGUGCAAUAUUGUGUUUGGAUUUAGGCAAUCGUUACAGUAAGAAAGCAAUUGUAUUUACUUCCAAAUCCUUGGAAACGGAGAUUAAUAACAGUAUGAUAUCAAAU